AAAUCCCUCACUCUUUUUUUCUGCCUCUCGCCCGUUUCUUUUGCAUUUCGUGGAAGUUUUCAGCAAUCCCACCCUUGCUCCCAGCUCCCGCAGGGCGCGAUAACACCGGAGCCCCCUCGAAGUUUGAGGCACGGAGGCGCUGGAAACUCCAGGAAAACCCGCUCCUUCUUGGAAUGGAAAACGCGGAAACCAGCAGCAAAGCUCCCCUUCACCAGGAGCAGCCCAGUUCAUCCAACGAAAAAAAAAGAGAGGAGGAGAAACAGGGAGAAAGAAACUAAAGAGCAACACCUAUGGAGCGAGGAGCUCCUGGACGCUGCGGAGGAGAGCCAGGCCGGGUGACAUUUUGGCAUGGGGUGCCCAUCGGGUUCCCCUCCCCGCCCCUAUCAAUGACGGAUGCGCCGAUGGACUGGGGCGCGUUAUCGAUGCCGGAAUGGAAAGGCUAAUCUGCUCUUGCCAAACAGGGUGUCAAUCAGGGCGUUAUCUCGGCCCAAAGGAGAAAAUAAAGGCAGAUAAGGCCUCCACUCUCGCCCUGGGAAGAAAGCUAAUGGGGGCAAAAGGGGGAAAGUCUUCAGCUCCCUGUGCCUUUCCCUGAAAGUGAUCUUGCAAUGACCUUGAAGGGGGGGCGGGGAGAGGAGUCCGGACCGAAGGGGUUUGAAUCAGUGCCUGAAUAAAGGCCGCACAAGCGACACCUGUAAUUAUUCCUGCCUCUUCUCCUUUUCCUCCCGAGGCAGGACCAGGACCAGGACCGGCCCCCGCUGUGCCCCGGCUCUCCAGGAGCUACCAGCUCAGGCACCCACACACCCACCUCAUUCCAAAACCUUCCUUCCCAAU